rnacentral:misc_RNA from 1 species
UGGUUCUGGCGUCGAUGAAGAACGCAGCGAAAUGCGAUAACUAGUGUGAAUUGCAGAAUUCAGUGAAUCAUCGAGUCUUUGAACGCACAUUGCGCCUCUUGGUAUUCCGAGAGGCAUGCCUGUUCGAACGUCGUUUGACCCCUCGGGCUUGACCCGGUUGUGGAGGUGUACCGCCCCCGGGCGGCCUCCGAAAAUUAGCGGCAGGGUGCAAGGGCCCGGCAGCGCGGUGACUGUAAUUUCGCGGUCGCGGCUCGGGUGCCCCAGCCGGAAACCUUUGGUGUGGCCCUCUGGUCAUGUCAAUCUUGACGGUUUCACUUCGGAUCAGGCAAGGAUACCCGCUGA